GCCGGAAUGGCGGAAUAGGUAGACGCAAGGGACUUAAAAUCCCUCGGAUGGUUUCAUCCGUGCCGGUUCGAUUCCGGCUUCCGGCA
rfam:Candidate division Zixibacteria bacterium 4484_95 ex4484_95_scaffold_1788, whole genome shotgun sequence.